rnacentral:ncRNA from 1 species
UGGCACAGGUUGGAGAGAACUUUAUUUUUCAGUCUUGUUUCCACUCUCCACUUAGAAUUCUGUCCCUAUCUACUAUCUAGCGAAACCACAGCCAAGGGAACGGGCUUGGUAAAAUCAGCGGGAAAGAAGACCCUGUUGAGCUUGACUCUAGUCUGACUCUGUGAAGAGACAUGAGAGGUGUAGCAUAAGUGGGAG